rnacentral:rRNA from 1 species
UGGGGAAUUUUGUACAAUGGGGGAAACCCUGAUGCAGCGACGCCGCGUGAUUUAGAAGGCCUUCGGGUUGUAAAAAUCUUUUCUAUGGGAAGAAAAUGACAGUACCAUAGGAAUAAGGACCGGCUAAUUACGUGCCAGCAGCCGCGGUAAUACGUAAGGUCCGAGCGUUGUCCGGAAUCAUUGGGCGUAAAGGGUACGUAGGCGGGUAAGCAAGUUAGAAGUGAAAUCCUAUAGCUCAACUAUAGUAAGCUUUUAAAACUGCUCAUCUUGAGGUAUGGAAGGGAAAGUGGAAUUCCUAGUGUAGCGGUGAAAUGCGCAGAUAUUAGGAGGAAUACCGGUGGCGAAGGCGACUUUCUGGCCAUAACCUGACGCUGAGGUACGAAAGCGUGGGUAGCAAACAGG